AUUGAACGCUGGCGGCAUGCCUUACACAUGCAAGUCGAACGGCAGCGGGGGAGAAGCUUGCUUUUCCUGCCGGCGAGUGGCGAACGGGUGAGUAAUACAUCGGAACGUGCCCUGUAGUGGGGGAUAACUAGUCGAAAGAUUAGCUAAUACCGCAUACGACCUGAGGGUGAAAGUGGGGGACCGCAAGGCCUCAUGCUAUAGGAGCGGCCGAUGUCUGAUUAGCUAGUUGGGGGGGUAAAGGCCUACCAAGGCGACGAUCAGUAGCUGGUCUGAGAGGACGAUCAGCCACACUGGGACUGGGACACAGCCCAGACUCCUACGGGAGGCAGCAGUGGGGAAUUUUGGACAAUGGGCGAAAGCCUGAUCCAGCAAUGCCGCGUGUGUGAAGAAGGCCUUCGGGUUGUAAAGCACUUUUGUCCGGAAAGAAAUGGCUCUGGUUAAUACCUGGGGUCGAUGACGGUACCGGAAGAAUAAGGACCGGCUAACUACGUGCCAGCAGCCGCCGUAA
rnacentral:rRNA from 1 species